UGAAAGGAUGAAACCAGGACUCGCUCAUUGUGGCUUGGGACGUGAAGGAGAGAAGGUGUGGGGUCUAUAGCUACGCCCUUCACCUGACGACGAUAGAUGAGAUGUGGACCAGCCAGUCCGCCCUCCUCCAGUGAGCCAAGGAAGGGGGCGAGACAAGAUGAGGUGAGGAAGAAGUGGUAUCUCCACUGAGCCAAGGCAGCAAUUCAGGACAGAACAAGUGACUGCUCCUGAGGAUCGCUGAGGUGGGGGGCUGCCUGGACCCAUUCCGCUCACUGGUGGGCAUCUCAACUCUCAGAAGGGCUGGCAUCUCAUCUCUGGGUUACCCAGAGUUGACUACUUGAAAGACUGCUAUCUCUGUCUUGCAGUUGCCUGGAUCCAUGCUGCUCAUUGGGCUUCCAUCUCAUUUGGGUUGACGACUACUCCUCAAAGGACGGGUGUCUCCUCUUGCUCAUUGGUGGGAAGACUCGACUUCCUGAAGGGCUUCCAUCUCAUCUCUGCCGCUCCUUUUAUAACAGUUCACACGAAUAUUGUAAUAAAUUAGAUUUGGUCAAUAAAUACUCUUAACCGCACA